AGCUUUGCACACUGGCAGUAUCACAGCCAAUGAGGUUUAUCUGAGAUGCAAUUAUUGUUAAUUGAAAACUUUUCCCAAUACCCCGCCAUGAUGACUUGAAAUAUAGUUGGCAUUGGCAAUUUUUUGCAGUCUCUAUGGGA
rnacentral:snRNA from 1 species